rnacentral:rRNA from 1 species
UAGGGAAUCUUCCACAAUGGACGCAAGUCUGAUGGAGCAACGCCGCGUGAGUGAAGAAGGUUUUCGGACCGUAAAGCUCUGUUGUUGGUGAAGAAGGAUAGAGGUAGUAACUGGCCUUUAUUUGACGGUAAUCAACCAGAAAGUCACGGCUAACUACGUGCCAGCAGCCGCGGUAAUACGUAGGUGGCAAGCGCUGUCCGGAUUUAUUGGGCGUAAAGCGAGCGCAGGCGGAAGAAUAAGUCUGAUGUGAAAGCCCUCGGCUUAACCGAGGAAUUGCAUCGGAAACUGUUUUCUUGAGUGCAGAAGAGGAGAGUAGAACUCCAUGUGUAGCGGUGGAAUGCGUAGAUAUAUGGAAGAAUACCAGUGGCGAAGGCGGCUCUCUGGUCUGCAACUGACGCUGAGGCUCGAAAGCAUGGGUAGCGAACAGGAUUAGAUACCCUGGUAGUCCAUGCCGUAAACGAUGAGUGCUAAGUGUUGGGAGGCUUCCGCCUCUCAGUGCUGCAGCUAACGCAUUAAGCACUCCGCCUGGGGG